AUUUCAAGAUGUAUGGUCAAGUGAUGUCUCAUACAAGUUACAUGGCUUCUAUUUUGUAUUACCAAGAAGACAAGUUGUGUUGCAACUGUUUAUGAGGUGCUUACUAUUACAUGUUUUCACAAAUACAUAAGAUAAACCUAACAGCACUUGGAGUGGAAGAGCUUUAAUUCUCCAUUCAACACCUGGAAGGACUGGAAGAGUUAACAAACCCCAUCGAUCAUGACCUAGACUAUGACUGAUUCACUUAGCAGUGCUUAAGCAACAUCAAGACCACCUCUGUUUCUUACUCUGCUGUCCCCUGGCGAGAAUGCCAGAGGUGGGUGAGAGUUUGAGACCAGACACAGCCAGGACCACUGACGUCAGCU